rnacentral:rRNA from 1 species
AGGGUUUGAUUAUGGCUCAGGAUGAACGCUAGCGGCGGGCCUAACACAUGCAAGUAGAACGGUAACAGAGAGAGCUUGCUCUCUGCUGACGAGUUGCGAACGGGUGCGUAACGCGUAUGCAACCUACCCAUAACAGGGGGAUAGCCCAUAGAAAUGUGGAUUAAUACCCCAUAACAUCAUAGAUUGGCAUCAUGAAAUGAUUAAAACUCCGGUGGUUAUGGAUGGGCAUGCGUGACAUUAGCUAGUUGGUGAGGUAACUGCUCACCAAGGCAACGAUGUCUAGGGGUUCUGAGAGGAUGAUCCCCCACACUGGUACUGAGACACGGACCAGACUCCUACGGGAGGCAGCAGUGAGGAAUAUUGCGCAAUGGAGGAAACUCUGACGCAGCCAUGCCGCGUGCAGGAAGACUGCCCUAUGGGUUGUAAACUGCUUUUAUAUAGGAAGAACUACAGCUACGUGUAGCUGUUUGACGGUACUAUACGAAUAAGGACCGGCUAACUCCGUGCCAGCAGCCGCGGUAA